rnacentral:rRNA from 1 species
UACGUAGGGGGCUAGCGUUGUCCGGAAUCAUUGGGCGUAAAGCGUGCGUAGGCGGCCCGAUAAGUCUGCUGUAAAAGUCAACGGCUCAACCGUUGAAAGCCGGUGGAUACUGUCGGGCUAGAGUCCGGAAGAGGCAAGUGGAAUUCCUGGUGUAGCGGCGGAAUGCGCAGAUAUCAGGAGGAACACCUAUAGCGAAGGCAGCUUGCUGGGACGGUACUGACGCUAAGGCACGAAAGCGUGGGGAGCGAACAGG